rnacentral:rRNA from 1 species
AUUGAACGCUGGCGGCGUGCUUAACACAUGCAAGUCGAACGUGAAAGUCCUUCGGGACGAGUAAAGUGGCGCACGGGUGAGUAACGCGUGGAUAAUCUACCCUUAAGAUGGGGAUAACGGCUGGAAACGGUCGCUAAUACCGAAUACGCUCCCGAUUUUAUCGUUGGGGGGAAAGAUGGCCUCUGCUUGCAAGCUAUCGCUUAAGGAUGAGUCCGCGUCCCAUUAGCUAGUUGGCGGGGUAACGGCCCACCAAGGCGACGAUGGGUAGCCGGUCUGAGAGGAUGACCGGCCACACUGGAACUGGAACACGGUCCAGACUCCUACGGGAGGCAGCAGUGGGGAAUAUUGCGCAAUGGGCGAAAGCCUGACGCGGCGACGCCGCGUGAGGGAUGAAGGUUCUCGGAUCGUAAACCUCUGUCAGGGGGGGAAGAAACCCCCNCGUGUGAAUAAUGCGAGGGCUUUGA